rnacentral:rRNA from 1 species
AAACCGUUCAGGGGUAAACCUGAGAAACCCAAAAGGUCGAAUGGGGAGAUUCAUCGUCGACGGCGCUGGCUACCGUUGGUGCGCGAUGCUCCGGGUGGGCCCUUGCGGUUCCAUUAGCGUGUGGCACACCACCUUCGGAUCGAACGUUCCGGCGUCGUAGUCGUGCACUUCUCCCCUAGUAGGACGUCGCGACCCGUUGUGUGUCGGUCUACGGCCCGAGUGGGCGCCUGUCGCGUCGUUUCGGCGCACGCGGCAGACCCUCGGUCGCCCGGCCGGCUGCACGACGGUACACUCACGGUAUCGGGCCGCAACCAGUCCAUUCUCUCGAAUGUGUGUGCGUCCAACCCGCCGCAAGUUCGGUCAGUUCUUACCCGGAGGUACGGACCCUGUGCCGUCCCCGGGCCUGGCCAGCUGUUAGCAGGCGGUGUCCUCGGACUGGCCAAAUCUCAGAUUACCGGUCGGCGACGCUAUUGCUUUGGGUACUCUCAGGACCCGUCUUGAAACACGGACCAAGGAGUCUAACAUGUGCGCGAGUCAUUGGGAUGCAUAAACCUAAAGGCGAAAUGAAAGUGAAAGUCGGCCUUCGCGCCGAUCGAGGGAGGAUGGGCCGCGUAACCAUGCGGCCUCGCACUCCCGGGGCGUCUCGUUCUCAUUGCGAGAAGAGGCGCACCUAGAGCGUA